GAUGAACGCUGGCGGCGUGCCUAAUACAUGCAAGUCGAGCGAACGGACGAGAAGCUUGCUUCUCUGAUGUUAGCGGCGGACGGGUGAGUAACACGUGGAUAACCUACCUAUAAGACUGGGAUAACUUCGGGAAACCGGAGCUAAUACCGGAUGAUAUUUUGAACCGCAUGGUUCAAAAGUGAAAGACGGUCUUGCUGUCACUUAUAGAUGGAUCCGCGCUGCAUUAGCUAGUUGGUAAGGUAACGGCUUACCAAGGCAAUGAUGCAUAGCCGACCUGAGAGGGUGAUCGGCCACACUGGAACUGAGACACGGUCCAGACUCCUACGGGAGGCAGCAGUAGGGAAUCUUCCGCAAUGGGCGAAAGCCUGACGGAGCAACGCCGCGUGAGUGAUGAAGGUCUUCGGAUCGUAAAACUCUGUUAUUAGGGAAGAACAUAUGUGUAAGUAACUGUGCACAUCUUGACGGUACCUAAUCAGAAAGCCACGGCUAACUACGUG
rnacentral:rRNA from 1 species